rnacentral:rRNA from 1 species
UGGGGAAUAUUGCGCAAUGGGGGCAACCCUGACGCAGCAACGCCGCGUGAAGGAUGAAGGUUUUCGGAUUGUAAACUUCUUUUGUUGAGGACGAAGAAAGUGACGGUACUCAACGAAUAAGCCACGGCUAACUACGUGCCAGCAGCCGCGGUAAUACGUAGGUGGCAAGCGUUGUCCGGAUUUACUGGGUGUAAAGGGCGAGUAGGCGGGUUUGCAAGUCAGAUGUGAAAUACCGGGGCUUAACCCGGGGCUGCAUUUGAACUGUAGAUCUUGAGUGAUGGAGAGGCAGGCGGAAUUCCCGGUGUAGCGAUGGAAUGCGUAGAUACCGGGAGGACACAGUGGCGAAGGCGGCCUGCUGGACAUUAACUGACGCUGAGGAGCGAAAGCGUGGGGAGCAAACAGGAUUAGAUACCC